rnacentral:rRNA from 1 species
UACGUAGGGUCCGAGCGUUGUCCGGAAUCAUUGGGCGUAAAGCGCGCGUAGGUGGCCCCGUAAGUCCGCUGUGAAAGUCAAAGGCUCAACCUUUGAAAGCCGGUGGAUACUGUGGGGCUAGAGUACGGAAGAGGCGAGUGGAAUUCCUGGUGUAGCGGUGGAAUGCGCAGAUAUCAGGAGGAACACCAAUAGCGAAGGCAGCUCGCUGGGACGUUACUGACACUGAGGCGCGAAAGCGUGGGGAGCGAACAGG